AUGUAUGUAUGUAUGUAUGUAAUUCUCACUGGAGUGAAUCUAUCAUGGGAUGGAAGGGGAAGGCGUGAGCCACACCGGGCGCGGCCAGCUCCGAUGCCGCCCCAGCCCCCACACCUUCUUCACCGUGCCAUCCUUGAGGCUGAACACCCCGACGGCAAGCUGGUCGUCGUCCUUGCUCGGCGACGCUCACUCCAGAUCGUCGUCGUCGGUGUAGUAGACGCAGCCGGCCCUGAGCUCCGGGCGCGCCGUGGUGGACACGCACAGGGACUCGUUCGCCCCAACGGACAGCGCCGCUUCUCCGAUGUCCUCCGUCUCCUUCCACCGGCCUCCGUCCAGCACAUGCACCUUGAAGGACCACGUCCGCCGGCACCGGCCACACCAGCCCGUCGUCUGCUUGAACUCCUUGAGCACCAACAUCAGCCGCCCGGCCGGCCCCGGCCUCGGCGCCGCCACAAAGUACUUGCGUCGGCGCCACGGUUGGCUGUCCUCAUUAGUCAGCCUUGGCGUGACGGCCGUGCUGCUGAACUUGCCCGUGUCGGCGUCGCGCUCCCACGCCUCCACGGCGCCCAAGUACCCAACGGAGUAGAACCUGCCCUCGUGGUGGAUGGCGUCCUCCACACCGUCGCGCGAGGGAGCCAGCCUCCACGCGGCGUCUUCCGUCGUCGCAAAGGCCGGCACACCCAAGCACGGGCCCGUGACUAG
rnacentral:rRNA from 1 species